CUUUGGAAAAUAAGUCACAGCCUCUGGGGUUGGCCUGUCAGUCAUCCAGCAGUCUAAUUUUAACUCUAAUUCACUUCAAUGAUUUGGCACCUAGGUCACUGCCUUCAAGCUAUGCCCGGUCAGCGAUCAGAGGUAGCCAUGGGAUACAAGGCAGCACACUGGGGACUUCAAAUCCUUAGAGUUGGGAUAAAACUGGAUACUGCCACUUCCCAGCACGAUAGCCUUGGGCAACUCCCACACAGACAUCCUUCAAGAAGGGGAAGACAGCUUUCAGACCAAGCACAAGGAGGUUUCAGACAAUUCAGCAGGCUGUGGUAGAGUUCCUGGAAUGGAGCAGAAAGCCCAAAAUAGAUAUCCGGGAAAAAAGAGGAAAUGGUGACAAAGAACUUCCUUUAAAAUGACAAGACCCUCCUUUUAUUGCCACAAUUGAGUCACGUGAAUUUUUGGUCCCUUCCAUGGAGAAGGGUGUUCCCAUGGAUUGAUUCAUGUACUUUAUUUCCUCCUUGAAGAGAGAGAAGAAAAAAAAAAAUGAUGAUCUAAGUAAUUGCAGCCAUCAAAGUAGUAAGAACUCAUCGAUCUCAAGUUCAACAGAAAUCUCAGUGAAAUAAUGCAAGGCUUAGAGAUUCUGUUCUUGUGAAAAUUCAUUCACUCAACAAAUGUUGAUUGUCUGCUCUAGACCAAAUGCUGGGAUAUAGAAACUAAUACAAUACUGCUCGUGCCACUAAGGACCUCUUUCUCUGUGGAAGACACAAAGUAAAUGAAGAACACUAUGAAAAACGAACCUAAAGGACCACUCUGUUUUUCCCUGUGGCCCUUCACAGGGCUACUGCCCAUGGAAAUCCCACAAAAAGAAGAGUUUCACAGGUUAGUUGCUGUAGUGGGUUGUAUGGUGUCCUCUCAAAAUUCAUGUCCACCUAAAUCUCAGAAUAUGACAUUAUUGGGAAAUAGGGUCUUUGCAGAUGAAAUUAAGAUGAGGUCCUAUCAGAUUAGGG
rnacentral:lncRNA from 1 species